rnacentral:rRNA from 1 species
UACGGGGGGGAGAGCAGCUGUUGGUGAAUUACUGGGCGUAAAGGGCUCGUAGGCGGCCAACUAAGUCAGACGUGAAAUCCCUCGGCUUAACCGGGGAACUGCGUCUGAUACUGGAUGGCUCGAGUUUGGGAGAGGGAUGCGGAAUUCCAGGUGUAGCGGUGAAAUGCGUAGAUAUCGGGAGGAACACCAGUGGCGAAGGCGGCUUUCUGGUCUGCUCUUGACGCUGAGGCGCGAAAGCUAGGGUAGCAAACGGG